rnacentral:rRNA from 1 species
AUUGAACGCUGGCGGCAGGCUUAACACAUGCAAGUCGAGCGGGGAAAGGUAGCUUGCUACCCGACCUAGCGGCGGACGGGUGAGUAAUGCUUAGGAAUCUGCCUAUUAGUGGGGGACAACAUUCCGAAAGGAAUGCUAAUACCGCAUACGCCCUACGGGGGAAAGCAGGGGAUCUUCGGACCUUGCGCUAAUAGAUGAGCCUAAGUCAGAUUAGCUAGUUGGUGGGGUAAAGGCCUACCAAGGCGACGAUCUGUAGCGGGUCUGAGAGGAUGAUCCGCCACACUGGGACUGAGACACGGCCCAGACUCCUACGGGAGGCAGCAGUGGGGAAUAUUGGACAAUGGGCGAAAGCCUGAUCCAGCCAUGCCGCGUGUGUGAAGAAGGCCUUUUGGUUGUAAAGCACUUUAAGCGAGGAGGAGGCUGCUUGGAUUAAUACUCUAGGAUAGUGGACGUUACUCGCAGAAUAAGCACCGGCUAACUCUGUGCCAGCCGCCGCGGUAAAAC